CAAUCCCGCUUGGAUUUUCGUGACUCCCUCCAACGCAAUACCUAAUAAUACAAUAUACCUCGAUCUGAAAACAAUCUCGUUCCCCCUCACCACACAAAACCCCGUCGUUCCCUUCAUUGCGCCAACCGUGGUUCUCAGCAACACCGCCAGCCGCUCUAGAGGUGAUGAAAAGGAUUGCUGAAGAGGUGAUGUCACAGAACCAUGAGAAGGCAUCUGUUCAACGAAAAAAAAGGGAAAAGUACAGUUGAAGAGGUGAUGUCACAUUUGGGGUUUGCCUUUUGAUGUGAAUUUUUAACCUUAAAUAACAACUUUGGUUCUUGCUACUCAUUGGUUUUUGGUUGCUUGUGAUAUUAACCUCACUUACUCUCCACUGCAAUAUCUAGGCCUUUAACCUGUUUUGGAUGAUAUACUUCCCAAGAAGUCCCCUCAUGUAGUUGCUAAAUGGUUUGAUUGUGUGGUUCUUUUUGCCUGCAUUUUGUUGUGUCAUAUCUUCUGUUAUCCCCUUGUUCUUGUAGUCAGAACCAUCUCAAUAUGGUUCUUGUGAACAAUGUGCCUUUGUUUUUCUGUGUCUGUGAUGGACCAUAGAUGCCCACCUUGCGACUUCUCCAUCAAUGUAAAUUUUUUAGUUGUUGCAUAUUUUUCCGGUAUCUAAGACGUAUUUUGAAUGCAUAGUGCAUACCUUUUAUGUAAUGCAUAAUAAACUAAUGUACGAUGCAGCUGACUUUGGGUCCAACCUUUACGAUGAAAAGGAUAUUGAAAUGCGUUAUAUGGGAAAAUUAUUGUUGCUUGUUUAUUUACUUAUUUAUUUUGUAGAUCGAAAUAUAAUGAAAAAGUUACUGGUUGACCGUGGUGCAAUUAGAUUUGUCUUGGCGGGUGCAAACAUAAUGUGUCCCGGUCUUACAUCUCCUGGGGGUGUUUAGGAUGAGGAUGUAGGGGCAAAAUGCCCUGUGGCCAUCAUGGCUAAAGGAAAACAGCAUUCUCUUGCUAUUGGCUUUACAAAAAUGUCAACAAAAGACAUUGGUACGAGAUUUCAAGGACACAGGGUGGGAAUGAGACUUCAAGUGGCAGAGACCAUUGUUUGACAGUGAGAUAGAUAUGGCGGUCUCAUUUAUACAAGAAGUUGAGGGGUACAAAAUCCAGUCUCAUAUUGGUGAUCAGUGGGUGUGGGCGACAGAUCCUAGUGGCCAGCAUUCGAUUAGGAGUGCCUGUAGUGUGCUUAGAGAGGACAUAUCAGAGGAGGCCCAGGAUGGAGAGUUCAAGGAAUUAUGGAAGCUUAAGGUCCCACCUAAAGUGGCUGUGUUUGCAUGGAGGUUACUCAAAGAUAGGCUACCAACCAGAGAUAACUUGAGAAGGAAGCAAGUUGAGUUACAUGAAUAUCUGUGUCCUUUCUGCAGAACAAUGGAGGAGUGCAUGUCACCUGUUUUUUCAUUGCAGGAAAGUACUUCCAGUAUGGUGGGAAUCGCUGUCUUGGGUGAAUCUGUAUUUUGUCCAUAUAACUACAUCAAUAAUCCAGUCAUUUGAGUACCAAUGGAAGUGGAUAUUAAAGGAGGCAUGGUUAUUCUUGACGAAGCUUACAAUAUGGAGGACAUUGCUCGGGAUGCUGGCAGUGUGGAUAUCGAAGAUGUUUUGUAUAUCAUACCUUUGAAAGAACUACAAAUGGAGCUCCAACAACUCUGCUCUAUUAAUGCCUGCAAUUUACCAACCACUAUAUGAAAUGGCCCAGGUAAUAGGAUUGUAUAUUGGGUUUGAAAUGUUUGACUUAUGAGUUUAUCCUCAGUGAUUGUAUAUCUUUAAUGAGUGCGGCACUUGUGAUUUUCAGCACUAUGUCGUGGAAAGUUAAGGAUUUUGUCAUUCUUUAUGCCUCUUUUGAAUAUUAAUUUGUGAAGCAUUUUUCAUUUUUGUAAUUUGGAUGUUGAGGCUCUAGAAUGUUCUAGUAAUAGGGUUUAGGGUAAAACAAGCUAGAAAAUGUAAUUUUCAGCACUGUCCAGGAAAUUUAAGGAUUGUAAUUCUUUAUGCCUCAUUUUAUUAUUAAUUUGUGAAUGCU